GUGGGCGGGGCCAGCCUGCGGAGCCGGGACCCCGCGGAGAUCCGAGCCGGGUGGCCAGAAGAGGCAGGCCGGUAGCCGGGACCCGGUUCCUGGCACACGGCCUCCAGACAGCGACGCGAGGUGUUUGCACCUGCGGUGACCUGGCCCGCGCCUGCGCAGACGGACGCCUCCCACGCGGCACCGAGAUCACGCCCUUGGCUCGAGGCUGCGCGGGGCGACCUGGAGGAGCCCCCUCCCAUCAUCUCUUCCUCGGAAGCCGGAAGCCGGAGGGACUGGCAUCCUUCCUGGCCGACCUCACGCGACCCUCCGCCAGGCCUCUCCCUCUGUGAAAGAUCCCCCCCGCACCGCACUCCCAGGGAAUCCCAGCCCCUGAACCCCCCCCGCCCCGCGUUGUCUCCCGGGCGUGUCCACGCAGGUCACCCUGCCCCAUCGCCUGCCAUAGCUCCAGAGCCCCUGCACCUGCGGGCCUCACCGUGGCUUGUAGUGCGCUGCGUGGCCGGCUUCGUGGUUCGAGGGGCAUCCCCAGGCUCUUUGUAGGCUGCCCUGGAGCUCGCAUCCUCCCUGCGGGGUGAACAGGGGCUGCAGGGCCUGGAAGAGGAGAAAACCGGGGGCGAUUGGUGCGGGGAGGGAGUAGUGAGGAAAUGCCUACACAUGUGCUAGGUCUGCUGGGAGGGGCUGCUAGGGACCUGGCUGAAGACAAGAGCAAAGCCUGGAGCAAGGAAGGGGGACACAGAGUCAGCCCCCAAUCCUGUUUGAGCACCAGCUAUACACCAGCGGCAGACAAAGAGCAACAAGCCGAAAAAUAAGCCCAGAAAUGCCACUUGGUGCCCAGUGUGGAUGGAAGGAGCCAGGACGGAGCUGCAGGAGGACAAGCAUCCACACGGGGGAACAGAGUCCGAAGCCCUGAGGCAGAGUCCCGCGGCGAGGCCAGGCACCCUCCCUGGGGCUUCCAGGAUGGUCCGGCUCCUGGGGCCGCAACUCACUGCCAGCCUCCUCUCCCCUCAGCCCGCCUUGUGGCUCCGGGAGAGUCCUGACCCCGCCGAGGUCUCUGUUGCAGACCAUGCCUCUCCAUUCACACUGUAGUAGCUGCCUCUAAGGAAACAGGACCUCAGGCUUUAUCUUUCUCCAUUUGCAAGAAAAUGGACUGCAGGAAAAACAUCUUGGAAAGGAAACUCCACAUCUGACCAUUACUGCAGACUUUCACUGUGUUUCGUAUUCACUAAAAUGGCAAAGAUACUUCAUCGCACCA